rnacentral:rRNA from 1 species
AUUGAACGCUGGCGGCAUGCCUUACACAUGCAAGUCGUACGGGAUCCAGGGUAGCAAUACUUUGGUGAGAGUGGCGCACGGGUGCGUAACACGUAUGCAACCUACCUAUAACCGGGACACAACCUCGAGAAAUUGUGGCUAAUAUCCCAUAACACUGCGAAAUGGCAUCAUUUUGCAGUUAAAACUCCGGUGGUUAUAGAUGGGCAUGCGCGACAUUAGCUAGUUGGUGAGGUAACGGCCCACCAAGGCUACGAUGUCUAGGGGUUCUGAGAGGAUUAUCCCCCACACUGGUACUGAGACACGGACCAGACUCCUACGGGAGGCUG